AACGAACGCUGGCGGCAGGCCUAACACAUGCAAGUCGAACGCCGUAGCAAUACGGAGUGGCAGACGGGUGAGUAACACGUGGGAACGUACCCUUCGGUUCGGGAUAACUCAGGGAAACUUGAGCUAAUACCGGAUACGUCCGAGAGGAGAAAGAUUUAUUGCCGAGGGAUCGGCCCGCGUCUGAUUAGCUUGUUGGUGAGGUAACGGCUCACCAAGGCGACGAUCAGUAGCUGGUCGAGAGGAUGAUCAGCCACAUUGGGACUGAGACACGGCCCAAACUCCUACGGGAGGCAGCAGUGGGGAAUAUUGGACAAUGGGCGCAAGCCUGACGACGCAACGCCGCGUGGAGGAUGAAGGUCUUCGGAUUGUAAACUCCUGUUGCUCGGGACGAAUGGCUCCGACCUAAUACGUCGGAGUGUGACGGUACCGGGUGAGGAAGCCCCGGCUAACUCUGUGCCAGCCGCCGCCGUAAC
rnacentral:rRNA from 1 species